rnacentral:rRNA from 1 species
UACGUAGGGUGCAAGCGUUGUCCGGAAUUAUUGGGCGUAAAGAGCUCGUAGGCGGUUUGUCGCGUCGGCUGUGAAAUCCCGAGGCUCAACCUCGGGCCUGCAGUCGAUACGGGCAAACUAGAGUGUGGUAGGGGAGACUGGAAUUCCUGGUGUAGCGGUGAAAUGCGCAGAUAUCAGGAAGAACACCCGUGGCUAAGGCGGCUCUCUAGUACGGUACUGACGCUGAGACGCGAAAGCGUGGGGAGCGAACAGG